rnacentral:lncRNA from 1 species
AAAAAUAUAUGUGUAAAUUAAUAGCUUAUAAAUAACUGAAGUAGUAUCUACUUAAAAAAUAAGGAAGGUAUAGUAUUUUUUUUGGAUCAUGAAAGGAAGUAAAAGAGAAAAUCAUACAGAGUACAGGAGCUUGUGUAUAUUAUAUAUUUUAGGGAUGGCGUAUGGUUGCUUGUUUGGGAAGAAAAGCUUAAAAACGAGUAAAAUGUCUCGAUUUUUAGCCACAUAUUCCUCCACUUAAUCUUUGUAAUUUUGUAAUAAAGAAAAUAUUAGAGAGGAUUUCAAGCUUUGACCAGCAAAAUAUCAGAUUGCUUCCUAAAACAGAUGAAAAGGAUGGUAUUGUUGAUUGCGAUAUGUGAAGGUAGUUGCUAUGUAUUUUAUGUAUUUUUAACCCUCUAAGGGAGAUAUUUAAUAAUUUAGACUUCAGUCAAACCAUAUAUACAGAU